UACGUAGGUGACAAGCGUUGUCCGGAUUUACUGGGCGUAAAGAGCGCGCAGGCGGUCGAUCAAGUCGAGUGUGAAAGCCCCCGGCUCAACUGGGGAGGGUCACGCGAUACUGAUCGACUCGAAGGCAGGAGAGGGAAGUGGAAUUCCCGGUGUAGUGGUGAAAUGCGUAGAUAUCGGGAGGAACACCAGUGGCGAAGGCGACUUCCUGGCCUGUUCUUGACGCUGAGGCGCGAAAGCUAGGGGAGCAAACGGG
rnacentral:rRNA from 1 species